GUCGGAGUGGUUCUCCAGGGAGAAAGCGAAUGCACUAAGCCAACUAGAGAGCUGGAAACAACUGAAAUAGAGGCAGUGUCUGUUGAAAGCGAGUUUCUGGAAGCGUCACCUGCUGAACUCCUCCUGAUCACCUCUAUCUCUGUGAAUAGCUUGGAAUUGACACCUCUUCUCAAGCAAUCUACAUAAUUACAGAGCAAGUAGCAGCAUAUCCUGAGCUUUUGUUAGGGUAGGGACAGCCUGUCUGGAAGGGUAUGUGACUACUAUGGUUUGAGAGCCUUGCUGUCGUACCAUUUGGAAAUAUGAGCCUACAAUAAGCUGCAGAUCAGAAUGUAUCUCUACUACUUCUCCAGCAACAAGCCUGCUAUGUCUGCAAUAUGCUGCUUAACAUGAUGACAAUGGACUAAACCUCUGAAAUUCUAACACUCAAGUACUACACUGAAGAGGUAUGAAGAUAGUGGACAACCUUACCUUGUUCCUGAUUUUAGUGAAAUUACUUUGAGUUUCUGCUACAAGCUGCAACAGUAAUUGCUCAGCCAUCUUUUCACAACUGACUUAUCAGGACCAAGGGAUCUGGUAAAGGGUAAACCAAAAGGCAAGGCUUGUUGGCGCUACUGCUUUGUGAAUAUAGUGGUUGUCCUUUGCUGUAGUUUUUUUGCUGUUGCUAACUCCCUUUUUGUUACAUAUUUGGGAAUUAAUUCCUUAGUUCAGAACAAUUUCCCGCUGCCAAGCCAUGUCCCUCUCUCCUAGGUAAGCAAAGAGAUCUGACUUCCUGCAAUUAUCUUUAUCAACAGAUAUUUGGUCAAUGUUUUGAGUCCAGGCCUAGAGCAUUUAGUUCAAGAUAUUCACAGAUAUCCAACAACAUAGAAUUACUACUUGCCCAAGCUGCUGCUCUGGUUUUAUCUCACUCAAAGGAUUAUUAACUCCUUAUGCCCACUUUCACCUCAGUUUACUGAUGAUUUUAGUUCCGGUCUCUCAAGGACAGCAGAAGGGAUAAAUAACUGCAGCCCAGAGAAAGACCCUCAAAACCCACGAUCAGAACGCCUGAUAACAGCAUGGCCCCAAAUUGAUAAUUUAGAGUUUUUGGUCUCUUCUUUACUUAGAGCAGUAAGUCUAUCUCCAGACUUAGGCCCUUAAAAACUAGUUUCUAGUGUAUGUGCUAUCUGAUCAAGAGCCAUCGGCAUCUCCCUGUUUACAUAGGUUGCCUGGUUACCUGGCAGCCUCUCUGCAUACUGGGAGAAAAGAAGUGAAAUGCUGAUUUAAACAAUUCAUGCCCUAUUCAUAGUUUUACUGAAAAUAAACCUUUCUAACAAUCUAAAAAUGUAGUGUAGUGCACUAACUUUCCCCUCUAGAAUUCCCUGAUAAUCUAAUUCCUUUUUUCACUAACUUUCUAAUAAUCUAAUUCCUCUUUUCACUUUCUCCUUUAAAGAGUUCAACAGAAGUGUACUAGCCAC